GGGUUGUGAGGUUAAGCGACUAAGCGUACACGGUGGAUGCCCUGGCAGUCAGAGGCGAUGAAGGGCGUGCUAAUCUGCGAUAAGCGCCGGUAAGGUGAUAUGAACCGUUAUAACCGGCGAUACCCGAAUGGGGAAACCCAGUGUGAUUCGUCACACUAUCAUUAACUGAAUCCAUAGGUUAAUGAGGCGAACCGGGGGAACUGAAACAUCUAAGUACCCCGAGGAAAAGAAAUCAACCGAGAUUCCCCCAGUAGCGGCGAGCGAACGGGGAGGAGCCCAGAGCCUGAAUCAGCAUGUGUGUUAGUGGAAGCGUCUGGAAAGGCGCGCGAUACAGGGUGACAGCCCCGUACACAAAAGCGCAUGUGCUGUGAGCUCGAUGAGUAGGGCGGGACACGUGGUAUCCUGUCUGAAUAUGGGGGGACCAUCCUCCAAGGCUAAAUACUCCUGACUGACCGAUAGUGAACCAGUACCGUGAGGGAAAGGCGAAAAGAACCCCGGCGAGGGGAGUGAAAAAGAACCUGAAACCGUGUACGUACAAGCAGUGGGAGCNNNNNNNNNNNNNNNNNNNNNNNNNNNNNNNNNNNNNNNNNNNNNNNNGGGCGUUAAGUUGCAGGGUAUAGACCCGAAACCCGGUGAUCUAGCCAUGGGCAGGUUGAAGGUUGGGUAACACUAACUGGAGGACCGAACCGACUAAUGUUGAAAAAUUAGCGGAUGACCUGUGGCUGGGGGUGAAAGGCCAAUCAAACCGGGAGAUAGCUGGUUCUCCCCGAAAGCUAUUUAGGUAGCGCCUCGUGAAUUCAUCUCCGGGGGUAGAGCACUGUUUCGGCUAGGGGGCCAUCCCGGCUUACCAACCCGAUGCAAACUGCGAAUACCGGAGAAUGUUAUCACGGGAGACACACGGCGGGUGCUAACGUCCGUCGUGAAGAGGGAAACAACCCAGACCGCCAGCUAAGGUCCCAAAGUCAUGGUUAAGUGGGAAACGAUGUGGGAAGGCCCAGACAGCCAGGAUGUUGGCUUAGAAGCAGCCAUCAUUUAAAGAAAGCGUAAUAGCUCACUGGUCGAGUCGGCCUGCGCGGAAGAUGUAACGGGGCUAAACCAUGCACCGAAGCUGCGGCAGCGACACUGUGUGUUGUUGGGUAGGGGAGCGUUCUGUAAGCCUGUGAAGGUGUGUCGUGAGGCAUGCUGGAGGUAUCAGAAGUGCGAAUGCUGACAUAAGUAACGAUAAAGCGGGUGAAAAGCCCGCUCGCCGGAAGACCAAGGGUUCCUGUCCAACGUUAAUCGGGGCAGGGUGAGUCGACCCCUAAGGCGAGGCCGAAAGGCGUAGUCGAUGGGAAACGGGUUAAUAUUCCCGUACUUGGUGUUACUGCGAAGGGGGGACGGAGAAGGCUAUGUUGGCCGGGCGACGGUUGUCCCGGUUUAAGCGUGUAGGUGUGUGUUCCAGGUAAAUCCGGUUCACUUUAACACUGAGGCGUGACGACGAGGCACUACGGUGCUGAAGCAACAAAUGCCCUGCUUCCAGGAAAAGCCUCUAAGCAUCAGGUAACAUCAAAUCGUACCCCAAACCGACACAGGUGGUCAGGUAGAGAAUACCAAGGCGCUUGAGAGAACUCGGGUGAAGGAACUAGGCAAAAUGGUGCCGUAACUUCGGGAGAAGGCACGCUGACACGUAGGUGAAGUGAUUUACUCAUGGAGCUGAAGUCAGUCGAAGAUACCAGCUGGCUGCAACUGUUUAUUAAAAACACAGCACUGUGCAAACACGAAAGUGGACGUAUACGGUGUGACGCCUGCCCGGUGCCGGAAGGUUAAUUGAUGGGGUCAGCGCAAGCGAAGCUCCUGAUCGAAGCCCCGGUAAACGGCGGCCGUAACUAUAACGGUCCUAAGGUAGCGAAAUUCCUUGUCGGGUAAGUUCCGACCUGCACGAAUGGCGUAAUGAUGGCCAGGCUGUCUCCACCCGAGACUCAGUGAAAUUGAACUCGCUGUGAAGAUGCAGUGUACCCGCGGCAAGACGGAAAGACCCCGUGAACCUUUACUAUAGCUUGACACUGAACAUUGAGCCUUGAUGUGUAGGAUAGGUGGGAGGCUUUGAAGUGUGGACGCCAGUCUGCAUGGAGCCGACCUUGAAAUACCACCCUUUAAUGUUUGAUGUUCUAACGUGGACCCGUUACCCGGGUUGCGGACAGUGUCUGGUGGGUAGUUUGACUGGGGCGGUCUCCUCCUAAAGAGUAACGGAGGAGCACGAAGGUUGGCUAAUCCUGGUCGGACAUCAGGAGGUUAGUGCAAUGGCAUAAGCCAGCUUGACUGCGAGCGUGACGGCGCGAGCAGGUGCGAAAGCAGGUCAUAGUGAUCCGGUGGUUCUGAAUGGAAGGGCCAUCGCUCAACGGAUAAAAGGUACUCCGGGGAUAACAGGCUGAUACCGCCCAAGAGUUCAUAUCGACGGCGGUGUUUGGCACCUCGAUGUCGGCUCAUCACAUCCUGGGGCUGAAGUAGGUCCCAAGGGUAUGGCUGUUCGCCAUUUAAAGUGGUACGCGAGCUGGGUUUAGAACGUCGUGAGACAGUUCGGUCCCUAUCUGCCGUGGGCGCUGGAGAACUGAGGGGGGCUGCUCCUAGUACGAGAGGACCGGAGUGGACGCAUCACUGGUGUUCGGGUUGUCAUGCCAAUGGCACUGCCCGGUAGCUAAAUGCGGAAGAGAUAAGUGCUGAAAGCAUCUAAGCACGAAACUUGCCCCGAGAUGAGUUCUCCCUGAGACUUAGAGUCUCCUGAAGGAACGUUGAAGACGACGACGUUGAUAGGCCGGGUGUGUAAGCGCAGCGAUGCGUUGAGCUAACCGGUACUAAUGAACCGUGAGGCUUAACCUUACAACGCCGAAG
rnacentral:rRNA from 1 species